GCAACAAAUUUAACACCAGCGUUUUUCUGUGAAAGUUCGGUAGCAUUUGCAAGCUCAGACCUUCAACAUAAUGCGUGAAUUCAGUAUACGGGAUACUAUAUUCCAAUGUACAAACUAAAACAAUGAAGCACAGAAUCGACAUGGAUGAAGUAGGAAAAAAGCUGUUAGGCGAAAAUCAUGGAAUCGUAUUCAGGGAUUCUGGGUUGGCCGUAGACAUAGAACAUCAAUUCCUGGCAGCAAGUCCAGAUGGCUUCAUUGGCGACGAUUCCAUCGUAGAAAUAAAAUGCCCGUCAUCUGCAGAUGAUUAUGAAUUGCCAGAAGAAGCGAUAUUUGACAAGAAAGUAUGUAUUGAAUGUUACCAACCACAAUGUAGCCAACCAGUGACUAUUUCUACCAAGUGCAAGGCCAACUGCAUAUUACUAGAAAAAAGCAGUGCCAUUUGGUGAUUUGUACAAAAAAUUUUCUGACCAUAGAAAUAAUAGAAAAAGAUUAUGCCUUUUGGGAUAAGAAAAUGAAAAAUGGUUUUAUGAGAUUUACUACGACUGCCUUCUUCCGGAUAUUAUCAAUCGGAUGUAUCCACUACGUCUUCAAAAAUGAAAAAUAAAGAAUCCGCCCGGACGAGGAUGCAAGAAGUCUUCGG